rnacentral:rRNA from 1 species
UGGGAAUCUGGCUUAUGGAGGGGGAUAACUACGGGAAACUGUAGCUAAUACCGCGUAGUGUCGAGAGACGAAAGUGCGGGACCGCAAGGCCGCAUGCCAUGAGAUGAGCCCAAGUGGGAUUAGGUAGUUGGUGGGGUAAAGGCCUACCAAGCCUGCGAUCUCUAGCUGGUCUGAGAGGAUGGCCAGCCACACUGGAACUGAGACACGGUCCAGACUCCUACGGGAGGCAGCAGUGGGGAAUAUUGCGCAAUGGGGGGAACCCUGACGCAGCCAUGCCGCGUGAAUGAAGAAGGCCUUCGGGUUGUAAAGUUCUUUCGGUAUUGAGGAAGGAGUGUAUGUUAAUAGCAUACAUUAUUGACGUUAAAUACAGAAGAAGCACCGGCUAACUCCGUGCCAGCAGCCGCGGUAAUACGGAGGGUGCGAGCGUUAAUCGGAAUAACUGGGCGUAAAGGGCACGCAGGCGGUUAUUUAAGUGAGGUGUGAAAGCCCCGGGCUUAACCUGGGAAUUGCAUUUCAGACUGGGUAACUAGAGUACUUUAGGGAGGGGUAGAAUUCCACGUGUAGCGGUGAAAUGCGUAGAGAUGUGGAGGAAUACCGAAGGCGAAGGCAGCCCCUUGGGAAUGUACUGACGCUCAUGUGCGAAAGCGUGGGGAGCAAACAGGAUUAGAUACCCUGGUAGUCCACGCUGUAAACGCUGUCGAUUUGGGGAUUGGGCUUAAAGCUUGGUGCCCGUAGCUAACGUGAUAAAUCGACCGCCUGGGGAGUACGGCCGCAAGGUUAAAACUCAAAUGAAUUGACGGGGGCCCGCACAAGCGGUGGAGCAUGUGGUUUAAUUCGAUGCAACGCGAAGAACCUUACCUACUCUUGACAUCCAUGGAAUUCUGUAGAGAUACGGGAGUGCCUUCGGGAACCAUGAGACAGGUGCUGCAUGGCUGUCGUCAGCUCGUGUUGUGAAAUGUUGGGUUAAGUCCCGCAACGAGCGCAACCCUUAUCCUUUGU